rnacentral:rRNA from 1 species
AUACGAAAGGUGCAAGCGUUGUUCGGAUUUACUGGGCGUAAAGAGAGUGUAGGUUGUAUAUUAAGUCGGAUGUGAAAUCCCGGGGCUCAACCUCGGAACUGCAUUCGAUACUGGUAGACUAGAGUUCGAGAGGGGUAAGCGGAAUUCCGUGUGUAGCAGUGAAAUGCGUAGAUCUACGGAGGAACACCUGAGGCGAAGGCGGCUUACUGGACCGAUACUGACACUGAGACUCGAAAGCGUGGGUAGCAAACAGAAUUAGAAACCCUAGUAGUCC